AGAGUUUGAUCCGGGCUCAGGAUGAACGCUAGCGGCAGGCUUAACACAUGCAAGUCGAGGGGUAACAUAGAGAGCUUGCUUUCUGAUGACGACCGGCGCACGGGUGCGUAACGCGUAUACAAUCUACCUUUAACUAAGGAAUAGCCCAGAGAAAUUUGGAUUAAUGCCUUAUAGUAUUAUUAUUUCGCAUGUUAUAAAUAAUUAAAGAAUUUCGGUUAGAGAUGAGUAUGCGUCCCAUUAGCUAGUUGGUAAGGUAACGGCUUACCAAGGCUACGAUGGGUAGGGGGCCUGAGAGGGUGAACCCCCACACUGGUACUGAGACACGGACCAGACUCCUACGGGAGGCAGCAGUGAGGAAUAUUGGUCAAUGGACGAAAGUCUGAACCAGCCAUGCCGCGUGAAGGAUGACUGCCCUAUGGGUUGUAAACUUCUUUUAUAUAGGAAGAAACCUCUCUACGUGUAGAGAGUUGACGGUACUAUACGAAUAAGGACCGGCUAACUCCGUGCCAGCAGCCGCGGUAAUACGGAGGGUCCAAGCGUUAUCCGGAUUUAUUGGGUUUAAAGGGUACGUAGGCGGAAUAUUAAGUCAGUGGUGAAAUCCUAUAGCUCAACUAUAGAACUGCCAUUGAUACUGAUAUUCUUGAGUCUAGAUGAAGUGGGCGGAAUACGACAUGUAGCGGUGAAAUGCUUAGAUAUGUCAUGGAACACCGAUUGCGAAGGCAGCUCACUAAAGUAGUAUUGACGCUCAGGCACGAAAGCGUGGGGAGCGAACAGGAUUAGAUACCCUGGUAGUCCACGCCGUAAACUAUGAUCACUCGUUAUUGGCGAUACACUGUCAGUGACUAAGCGAAAGUGUUAAGUGAUCCACCUGGGGAGUACGAUCGCAAGGUUGAAACUCAAAGGAAUUGACGGGGGCCCGCACAAGCGGUGGAGCAUGUGGUUUAAUUCGAUGAUACGCGAGGAACCUUACCAGGGCUUAAAUGCAGAACGACAGGAUGGGAAACCAUUUUUUCUUCGGACGGACUGCAAGGUGCUGCAUGGUUGUCGUCAGCUCGUGCCGUGAGGUGUUGGGUUAAGUCCCGCAACGAGCGCAACCCCUAUUCUUAGUUGCCAGCGAGUAAUGUCGGGGACUCUAGGAAGACUGCCAGCGUUUAAGAGUGGGAAGGUGGGGACGACGUCAAGUCAGUAUGGCCCUUACGGCCAGGGCUGCACACGUGCUACAAUGCCUAGUACAAAAGGACGCAAUACCGCGAGGUGGAGCAAAUCCCCAAAACUAGGCCCAGUUCAGAUUGGAGUCUGCAACUCGACUCCAUGAAGUUGGAAUCGCUAGUAAUGGCGCAUCAGCUACGGCGCCGUGAAUACGUUCCCGGGCCUUGUACACACCGCCCGUCACAUCAUGAAAGUCGGUUUUGCCCGAAGUAUGCUUGUCAACCGCAAGGAGACAGCGUCCUAAGGUGGGGCUGGUGAUUGGGAUGAAGUCAUAACAAGGUAACCGUA
rnacentral:rRNA from 1 species